rnacentral:rRNA from 1 species
UAGGGAAUCUUCGGCAAUGGACGGAAGUCUGACCGAGCAACGCCGCGUGAGUGAAGAAGGUUUUCGGAUCGUAAAGCUCUGUUGUUAUAGAAGAACGUUGGUAGGAGUGGAAAAUCUACCAAGUGAUGGUAACUAACCAGAAAGGGACGGCUAACUACGUGCCAGCCGCCGCGGUAAUACGUAGGUCCCGAUCGUUUUCCGGAUUUAUUUGGCGUAAAGCGAGCGCAGGCGGUUCUUUAAGUCUGAAGUUAAAGGCAGUGGCUUAAAAAUGGUACGCUUUGGAAACUGGAGGACUUGAGUGCAGAAGGGGAGAGUGGAAUUACAUGUGUAGCGGUGAAAGGCGUAGAUAUAUGGAGGAAAACCGGGGGCGAAAGCGGCGCUCUGGUCAGGAACUGACGCUGAGGAUCGAAAGCGUGGGGAGAAAACAGG